CCGUGAAACCGCUCAGAGUAUAAGCCCAUGGCAGCUUGGAAGGCAUAUCGCUAGCGGGGCAUCGGUCUCCCUUCACGGGGAGCUGGUGUUACCUUGCUUUUGUUGUGGUUCGUCAUGGUAGGGGGGUCAAGUCCACAUCCCGCCGUCGUGUGGGGAGUUCUCGGGCGUGUUGUUGUCUUUCGGUUGACUUCGGUUGGCCGUUUUGGCAAUCGCGCUUGGUUCUCCUUUGGACACGGACGUUCAGACUCAGAGGCAAGACGCGAUAACCAGCCAACCACGGCACGUUGUGAGGUCACCCACAGGCUCAGCUUUCGAUUGUGAACCUUGACGCCGAGCAAGCACAAUGCGUGUCGCAGAUGUUCCUAACCAGGCAAACGUUUGCCAGGACAGUGGAACGACACGCGCUCAACAGUCAGGUUCGGGCGAUGACAGAGUUCUGGUAUGAUCCUCUUGCGACGAGCCGCCUCUGGCCAGUAUUUCCGAUGCUCAGGUCUCUCGCAUGUGCCGCGGGAGAUCGCCUUGACGGUCUGGAGCUUUCAUAAGUCCUCUCAGUCGGGCAACGGAAGGAGUGGUGUAAAGUCCAAGCCCAUCGGUCACGUCUCGAAACACGGGCCAAGGAGUAUAGCAUGUGUGCAAGUCUAAGAGUCUCACAAAACUCGAAGGCGAAGUGAAAGCAAGUAAGCGGCGGGUGAUCUACGGAGAGAUCCCGUCGGCUAGAGGGUCCCUCGGGGCACUCCGGCUUUGGCAGAGUUGAUCCUGCAGCGGUACCUCACACGUACGCUCAGGCGCAAACUCCAGGCUCACGUUUCGCACUGGUUCUCGGACUGUGCUGUGAGCACUGUGGAGCAUGCAUGCUAUGACCCGAAAGAUAGUGAACUAUGCCUGGCGAGGGCGAAGCCCCAGGAAACUGGGGUGGAGGCCCGUAGCCGUUGUGACGUGCAAAUCCAUGGUAUCAGUUGGGCAUA
rnacentral:rRNA from 1 species